rnacentral:rRNA from 1 species
AUGAUUCUCCGAGACAAGACAAGCAAUAUAAUUUUCUCCUCAUGCAAGGAACUUUUUUUUCCUGUAGAGAUGCAAUGGAAGCCGAGCUCUUUUUGUAUGGAGGGUCUAUCUUUAUCUUUGCAACGAUCAGUUCUUCCUAUUCUGCUAGAGGUGGUUGUCCCAGUGGUGAACAUUCUCAAGGAUGAAGUUGUUGACAGAUCGCUGCUUGCUUCUUUGGUGGCAGAGAUUAAAUAUCUGUUUUCCCUUCGUAAAACUUGUAUUACUCAAAUUAAGCGUAGCCAAAAUGUUGUUGGUGAUUUCUUGGUAAACUUUGCUAGAACUGAGAAUAGAGCUGUUGUUUGGCUGGGCUCAGGGGCAGCAGAUGCAGUAGAAAAUGCACCAUUAGUAUCUUGGUUUUGUCCAUGUGCCAACAACCUUGAUACCAAAUUUUGGACCCUUAAAAGCUCAUCGACUUGGUUUAGCGUACAUAUUUACUCUAUCGCAAAGUGCGGAAGGCGACUCCCAUGA